CGUAGGAGGCAAGCGUUAUCCGGAUUCACUGGGCGUAAAGCGCGUGCAGGCGGUGCGGUAAGUUGGGUGUGAAAUCUCCCGGCUCAACUGGGAGAGGUCAUUCAAUACUACCGUACUCGAGAGCAGAAGAGGAAGAUGGAAUUCCCGGUGUAGUGGUGAAAUGCGUAGAUAUCGGGAGGAACACCAGUGGCGAAGGCGAUCUUCUGGUCUGUUUCUGACGCUCAGACGCGACAGCUAGGGUAGUAAACGGGAUUAGAGACCCCGGUAAUCCUAGCCGUAAACGAUGUGAACUUGGCGUUGGUGGGUUAAACUCCAUCAGUGCCGUAGCAAACGCGAUAAGUUCACCGCCUGGGGACUACGGCCGCAAGGUUA
rnacentral:rRNA from 1 species